CAAAUAUACUUCAAAUCAAAUGCGGCUGUGGAGGUCGUUUUCGUAUUAGGGUCUCCGACUAGAUUUCCUCUCAGCCAUUCGAUGUCCAGACAGAACAAGAGUUCUUAGAGAGUUGUUUCAGCUUCAUAUGCUAAUGAUCUAUAUCAGUUAAAGAUUCCCCAUUUUAAAGUCAUUCUUAAAUCAUCACCACUAUCUAUCCUGAAUACGAGCUUCUUCAUGCGAGGCGGUGAAACUUUGAUUACAAAAGGGAAGAUGCUCCUCAACCGCUCAAGUCCGGUUACUCCGCUUCUGGGAGGCCAGUAACGUCCGAUGCAGCGCGAACUAAUGGGAGUCGAUAUGUGUCUGCUUGAUUCCCAGUCGACCAUGAUGCCGUCGACGGUGAAUGUGAACCGACUUGCAACUCACAUGCCUAAUCUGAAAGCGGGCUCACUAUAUUCUCUAGCCGGUUUGAUGUGGCCCGAUGUAAUCGGAAUUACCGACUGUCGGACUCCUCUAUGAUGAUUCGUUUCAGCGACUCAACCUCUUUUGAUGAGAUAACCGAACUGACUAUUCCGAUAGGUUUGAAAUCUUUCCGGUUCGUAAUCAUAGCGAGCUGCUUUGUCUUGCCAGCACAAACACUCAUCUUCCAGACAUCAUCGGUGAGAUAACUGAUGUGAAGAGCACUGUCACCGACCCUCCACAUGACAAGAACAGUUUGAUGGCAACCAUAAAAUGGAUAAUGAUGUUUCUGUAACUAUAUAUGAGUCUGUUUGACUCACAGGCUGUCAAGCUGAUGAUAGACUCCUAGGAUGCUUCUCUGAUCAGUAUGGGAUAGAUCCUUGCAAGUACGAGUCAAAGACUCAAUUUUCUUAAGGUUGUGGAUCGAAUGGUGACACAAGAGGUUGCGGAAAGACUCCUUGAUACUCCUAAGUGACUAGAUUGGAUAUGACACACCGAGAUAGACACUCUUGGGCUGUUGGAUAUUACACACCAACAAGAACUCUAGACUACUCGCAAGCAAGCAAAAGAGAGAACAAGGUUUUUGAUAAAAGAUGGAUGAUUCUUAUUAGGUUUGCGAGACUACAUAUAUAUAAGAAGAGACUUGUAUAUGCACAAGCUCUUGGAACUCAAAAACAAUAAAGGAACAGGCUCUUCUUGUUCUUCUUGUUUCGAAAUGUAGAAAAUAAAAGACA